CCUACGGGAGGCAGCAGUAGGGAAUCUUCCACAAUGGACGCAAGUCUGAUGCAGCCACGCCGCGUGAGUGAAGAAGGCUUUCGGCUCGUACAGCUCUGUUGGUAGUGAAGUAAGAUACAUGUCGUAACUGUCUUUUUAUUUACGUUAUUUAUUUAGACAGUCUCGGCUAACUCCGUGCCAGCAGCCGCGGUAAGACGUAGGUGGCUAGCGUUGUCCGGAUUUAGUGGGCGUAAAGCGAGCGCAGGCGGUUCAAUAAGUCUGAUGUGAAAGCCUGCGGCUCAACCGUAGAAUUGCAUCUGAGACUGGCUAACUUGAGUGCAGAUGAGGAGAGUGGAACUCGAGGUGUAGCGGUGAAAUGCUUAGAUAUAAGGAAGAACACCAGUGGCGAAGGCGGCUUUCUGGUCUGCAACUGACGUUGAGGCUCGAAAGCGUGGGUAGCGAACAGGAUUAGAUACCCGGGUAGUC
rnacentral:rRNA from 1 species